CCCUUAGAUGUCCGGGGCCGCACGCGCGCUACACUGAAGGAAUCAGCGUGGCUUUCUCCCUGACCCGAAAGGGUUGGGAAACCCGUUGAAUCUCCUUCGUGAUAGGGAUUGGGGCUUGAAAUUGUUCCCCAUGAACGAGGAAUUCCCAGUAAGCGCGAGUCAUAAGCUCGCGUUGAUUACGUCCCUGCCCUUUGUACACACCGCCCGUCGCUACUACCGAUUGAACGGUUUAGUGAGGGCCUCGGAUUGGUCUCGGCCCGCUCUAUACCGGGCGGCGCCGUUGGUCGAGAAGACGCUCGAACUUGAUCGUUUAGAGGAAGUAAAAGUCGUAACA
rnacentral:rRNA from 1 species